rnacentral:rRNA from 1 species
UUUCAGUGAGGAAGAACGCCUGGUGGUUNAUACCCAUCAGGAAAGACAUCACUCNCAGAAGAAGCACCGGCUAACUCCGUGCCAGCAGCCGCGGUAAUACGGAGGGUGCGAGCGUUAAUCGGAAUUACUGGGCGUAAAGCGCGCGUAGGUGGCUUGAUAAGCCGGUUGUGAAAGCCCCGGGCUCAACCUGGGAACGGCAUCCGGAACUGUCAAGCUAGAGUGCAGGAGAGGAAGGUAGAAUUCCCGGUGUAGCGGUGAAAUGCGUAGAGAUCGGGAGGAAUACCAGUGGCGAAG